UUCUGCAGUCCCUGUGACUACAGACCAUAAUUACAGACUGAACAUUUUACCAGAUGAAGGAGUAAAGCAAGUUCUGUCAGUGUUCUCUGCUGCUGUUGGAUCUGAAUAAAGUCCAGCUAACUUCCUGUUUCUGCUUCUCCUCAGAGCUCCAAACGUCCAAACCAACAGGUGAAAAGGACGUUGGGUUCAAACUGGAGGACGCUCUCCGUCCAGCGGUGAAACCCACUGAUCAACCAGGAGGGGGAGCAGGUGAGUCUGCAGACAACACUCACAUAAUCCUGACUUCUAAUUAUCCAUUCAUCUGGACCUUACAGUGAGCGCUGAAUGAGUGCAGAAAGAGUGCCGAACGAGUGCCGAACGAGUGCAGAACGAGUGCUGAACGAGUGCGGAAUGAAGGCCGAACGAGUGCCAAACGAGUGCAGAACGAGUGCAGAACGAGUGCAGAAUGAAGGCCGAACGAGUGCCAAACGAGUGCAGAACGAGUGCCGAAA